rnacentral:rRNA from 1 species
UACGUAGGUGGCAAGCGUUGUCCGGAAUUAUUGGGCGUAAAGCGCGCGCAGGUGGUUUCUUAAGUCUGAUGUGAAAGCCCACGGCUCAACCGUGGAGGGUCAUUGGAAACUGGGGAACUUGAGUGCAGAAGAGGAAAGUGGAAUUCCAAGUGUAGCGGUGAAAUGCGUAGAGAUUUGGAGGAACACCAGUGGCGAAGGCGACUUUCUGGUCUGUAACUGACACUGAGGCGCGAAAGCGUGGGGAGCAAACAAG